GGGGCGUUCUGAGAUGGGGCUGAGGCUGUUGGAACUGGCCCUAGGGGGACCCCGGCCUCCCUGCCUCAGUUCCGCAGUCUGUGGCCCUGUCAGCCGCUGGCGCCUCUGGGUCCUCGGGCACCUCGGCCCCGCGGGGUGGGGCCGGGCGGGGGGCCCGGACCCACUGUCCUCUCCUGUACCUGCGCGGCGACUUGGGCCGGGCCAGGAGCCCUCUCUGGGCAGCGCCGUGUCGCCCCCGACUGUGCGGUGGCGGCGGAAGGGUCGUGGGGACAUCUCUCAUGAGGGGUUCGUGCGCUGAAGAAGCUGUGGUCGGUGGGGACCUCUGUCCCUCCUUUUCCCGCUCCAGGGUCAUCGUUUUCCCCUUGAGUUUUACAGAUGUAUGGGAAACAGUGUCACAAAUCCAUAUCCCUGUCCCCAUGCCCAAAUGCCAACUGUCCCCCUCCAGUUCACAACAUCAGUGUCAACUAUUCAUCUUUCGAUUUGCAUCUCAUAGGGACAUCGCAUUUUAAUUGCUUAGUUUCCCACAAAGCAAUGAAUGACGUUCUUUAAAAGGUGUAUUUUGUUUGGAAUCUUUUCAACCAAGAGUAAAGCAGAGGAAAACUUCCUGACACUCCACUGUAAGAAUCUUCCAAUCUCCUUUGUUAUAUUAUCUAGACACAGACGCCUUUUAAGAAUGUCUCUGGGGGCUGGGGUUGUGGCUCAAAGGUAGAGCUUUCGCCUGCCACGCAUGAGGCACUGGGUUGGAUCCUCAGUACCACAUAAAAAUAAGAUAAAGAUAUUACAUCUAUCUAUAACUACAAAAUAAAUAUUAAAAAAAAAGAAUGUCUUUGGGUAGAGGGUUCCCUUUAGAAACUUUAUAGGUACUAGGUGUGGGUGGACCUCUCCAGUAAUCCCAGCAAUUCAGGAAGCUGGGCAGGAGAAUCAAAAGUUUGAGGCUAGCCUCAGUAACUUAUCCAGACCUCCAUCUCAAGAUUAAAAAUUAAAAAAAGGGCUGAGGAUGAAGCUUAAUGAUAGAGUGUCCCUGGGUUCAAUCCCCAGCACCGCAGUGAAUGAAUGAAUGAAUGUAAGUAAGUGCAUAACCUUGUUGAGACCAAAACUCCAUAAGGCCAAUGUUGAUCCUGCAAAGAGAGGUCAUUGAAGUCCUGCCUAGUUGGUUCUUCCUGGGGAGCCUUCUCUGUGUCCUGCUUGCCCACACCAACUAUGGCAGGCACCCUUUAAAUGGAGAAGAUGUACUGAACAGCUGGGGAUGCAUAUGCUGAUGGGGUUGGGUCGAAGAGGGGGUCUUGAUGUCCUCUCUCCUUCUUUCUUUUUAGUGGUGCUAGGGAUGAAACCUGGGGCCUUGUGCAUGCUAGGCCAGCAUUCUGUCACUGAAUUACACAUUCUGUCCUUAAUACCUUUUCUGAAGGUGUUAUUUGCACUAGGGCUGUUUCUGGACAGUGUCUUUCAAACAAAAUCCUGAUAGAGGUGUGAAGUGAUUUUAUUUGAAAGGAAUAUUGUAAUAGGGAGAAACCCCUAGUAUCUCAACAGUUAAUGAGGAGCAAAGGAGUAGAAAACAGGUGGAGUCCUGCAUGGUGGUGCACACCUGUAAUCCCUGAGGCCAGAGAUUCUGUAUGACAAUAGAUAAGGCCAGAGGAUGGCAAAUUCCAGGCCAGCCUCGGUAACUUGGUGAGACCCUGUCUCAAAAUAAAAAGGGCCAAAUAUAUCUCAGUAAAGUGUCCCUUUGUCCCCAAUACCAGGGGGAGGGAGGAAGGUGGAGAUCAGGGGAUGGCAGAGUGUCGCAAAAAUAAGGUCUAGACCAGAGAAUGUUUUCCCCUGAGGUCAACCUGUUCUUAAGAGAACAUUAAGGGAGGGGCUGUCUGCUAGUUUAGGUUGAGAGGGCUCACUCCUAAGCAGGUGAUUCAAGAAAUUUAAUUCUGGCACCUCCACACCCUACUGUCUCCUCCUCUUUCAGGGUCUCAAUUCUCACCUGCACAGGAGGGUGAUCUUCAGGUUUGGGAGUAUGUUUCACCUUCUGAGUGUGGGUCCCCUUGUGAACUGUGGGUGAAGCAGGCUGCUUCCCUUAGCUGCUUCCCCCUUGUUCCCUUUGUGGGAUCUUGUUGCCACUGGAUCAUACUGUGUCCAUGUGCUUAGGCAUGGGAUUCCAUGGCAUAGGUGUAAGAGUUUUUCUUGUUUGGAACCCGAGUGGAUUGAAUAAUAAGAUCUGAAGUGACAAAGAGAGUCUUGAAAUAAAUCAUUUAUUCUAUGCUUAGUUUAUACAAUAAGAAUAUAAACAUGCAUGGACUCACCACCCAGGUGACUAAAUUGACUAUGGUCAGUUAUGCUAUGACUCCUUGAUGUCACCACCUAUCUGCACUCAGAGGUCACCACUGUCCCAAUUGUUUUCAUUAUUCUGUAGAGCAUACCAUCUGUUUAUCAUGAAGCAGAAUUUUGCCUCUUUUUAGAGUUCAGUAAGUUAAUAUUACUAUCAACAUACCAUUGAUAUUGUGCCGAAGGGCUUUUCUUGUGCUUUCUUUGCCUUAGUCUGUUGCACACAUGCUGCUGAGGCACGGCUCACACAGUUCAUUCACCAUCUACUGCUAUAAGAUUUACGUUGUUUCGAGUUUGUUCUUUAAUUAGUUAUUUUGCAUGCUGAGAAUUGAACCCAGGACCUUGCAUUUGCACAUGCUAGGCAAGUGCUUUGCCACUGAGCUAGAUCCCCAGCUCUCAAGGUGUUUUCUCUCUCUCUCUCUCUCUCUCUCUCUCUCUGUGUGUUAUUGGGGAUUAAACCCAGGGGUGCUUUACCAUGAGCUACACCCCUGGACUUUCUAAUUUAUUUUUUGAGACAGGGUCUUACCAAAUUGCCCAGACUAACCUGGAACUUGGAAUCCUCAUGCCUCCUGAAUAGUAUGCACCACCACACCCAACCCAAGUUUAUUAUUGUUUAUUAUUAUUGUUGUUAUUUUCAGUCCCGGGGAAUUGAACCUAGGCGUGCUCUACCACUGAAUUACAUCCUCAGUCCUGCCUCUCCCGGCCUUUUUUUGCACUAGGGAUUUAACCUAGGGGUACUUUACCUCUGAGCUAUAUCACUAGCUCCCUAACCCUUUAAAAAAUUUUUUUUAGGUCUUGCUAAGUUGCCCAGGCUGGUCUUGUGAUCCUCUUGCCUCUGCCUCAUGAGUAGCUAGGAUUAUAGGCAUGUGCCACUGUGCCUGGCUGAAGUUUGUUUUUGAUGUUGUUGACAGUGUCAUUCUUGUUUUUGUCCACAAGUUUUAAUGCCUUGAAAACUUUUUAUACAAUGGGGAAAAUGGCUAGGUUGUUGGUUAUGGAUAAAUUCAGAUUUAAUAGGAAAUGUUGCUGGAGCAUAUGUAAUAACUGUCUGACCUUUCCUAAGUAUUUAUUCUUGAAAUUUGUCAAUGCUUCCAAUUAUCUAAUUAAUUUUUUCAUCUAUUGUCAUACAGAAUCUCCAAUGGUCAUAUAUUACUUUUACAUAGUCAUGUUCUGCAUAAUGACAUUUCAGCCAACAACGGACCCUGUGUAGGAUAGUAGUCGCUAGCAGCCUCCUACAGCUGGUGGUUUACUGCAUCUUUUGAUUGUUCUCAUAUACUCAAUUUAAUUUUAUGCUAUUAUGUUCAUCAUGGCUCCUACUCACACAAAAUCCAUUGCUAAAGUUGCCAGUAAGAGGCCACGUUGAGUGAUUGACCUAGAAACAAAAUUAAAAUUGAUUAAGGACUAUGAAGGUGGGAAAUCAGUAAUGGUUAUUGCUCGCCAAUCAGGAAUGUCCCAUUCCACCAUAGCUACAAUCUUGAAGAACAAGAACAAAGUGACAGAAGCUCUUAAAGGAUCUGCCUCAUUGAAGGCCACCAGACUAACAAAAAUUCGAGAAGGGCCCAUAUCAGAUAUGGAGAAACUUCUAAUGACCUGGAUUGAAGAGCAGACACGGAAGCGGGUCCCUCUCAGUACUAUGAUGAUUACAGCUAAAGCCAAAAGUUUGUUUGCAAUGUUGAAGGAAAAGGCUGGACCUGACUAUAAUGUUGAAUUCACUGCCAGCUCUGGGUGGUUCAAGCGAUUCAAGAAUCGCUAUUCAUUACAUAAUGUGAAAGUGAGUGCUGAUGUCACCAAGGAGUGUAUGAAUGGCAUCUGGAAGAAGACACUCAAGAGGUUCGUCCAUGAUUUCAAAGGAUUUGCUCAGGAAGAGGAAGGCGCAAACAUGGACAAGGCUGUGGUUGAGAUGGCCAACAACUUUACUCUGGGUAUGGAGGAGGAUGACAUGGAGGAUGAUGACAUGGAGCUCCUGGAGGUGGUUCCUGAGGAACUGACCAGUGAGGAGUCAUUGGACCAGGAGUGCAAAGCCCAAGAAGAAGCAAGAGAAAAGGAAACUGCAAAAGAAGAGAAAGAACUUCCAAGAAAAUUCACAGUGACGGGCCUAGCAGAAGCUUUUACAGACCUCAACAAGCUCCUUAAAAAGUUUGAAAGCAUGGACCCCAACCCUGAAAGGUUUUCAUUAAUAGAGAAGAAUGUUCAUGGUGCAUUAUCUGUGUACAAACAGAUCUAUGAGGCAAAAAGGAAGCAAACCACCACAGACAUAUUUCUGCGAAGAGUGACACCUCAAGAGCCUCAGGCAGGUCCCUCAAGAGGCAUUGUCAUCAUAGGAGAUGAUGGCACUAUGCGCAUUAUUGCCUCUGAGGACCUUCCGGUGGACCAUGUCAGAGAGGGGGAAGUCAGUGAUAUUGAUGAUCCUGAUCUUGUGUAGGCCUAGGCUCAUUCGUAUGUUCAUGUCAUAGUUUUUAACAAAAAAGCUAAGAAGUUUAAGAAAAAUUAAAAAUCAAAAAAAGCUUCUAGAAUAAGGAUAUAAAGAAAAGAUUUUUAUACAGCUGUGUAAUGUGUCUGUUUUAAGCUGUUAGUACAAAAGAGUCAAAGGUUUAACAUCUUAAAAAGUUGAUAAAGUAAAAAAGUCUGGUAAGGUUAAUUUGUUAUGGAAGAAUGAAAAAAUUAUAUAUUUUAAUAAACUGGAAUAACUUAAGUGUACAGUGUUGAUAAAGUCUACAGCAGUGUACAGGAAUGUCUGCAGCCUCCACAUUUACCCCUCACUUGCUGAUAACCAGAGAAACGUCCAGUCCUGCAAGCUCCAUUCAUGGUAAGUACCCUCUACCUGUGUACCAUUGAUUAUUUUUUAUCUUGUUUUUGCUGUACCUUAGACACACAAAUACUUAACAUUGCAUUACAGCCAAGCAUGGUGGUACAUGCCUAUAACCCCAGCAGCUUGGGAGGCUGAGGCAGGAAGAUCACAACUUCAAAACCAGCCUCACCAACAGUGAGGUGCUUAGCAACUCAGUGAGACCCUGUCACUAAAUAAAAUACAAAAUAGGGCUGGGGAUGUGGCUCAGGGGUCGAGUGCCCCUGAGUUCAAUCCCUGGUAGCAAAACAAAAACAAACAAACAAACAAACAAAAAAAACCCAUUGCAUUAUACCUGUCAUUGUGUGAAAGCAAUAUUGUAUUUUAUACUUUUAAAAUUUUUUGUGUGUGCUAAAACUGGGAAUGAACCACAUGUAUGUUUAUGUCAUAGUUUUUAACAAAAAAGUUGAAGAAGUUAAAAGGUUAUAGAAUAAGAAUAUAAAGAAAGAAAAUAUUUUGUACAGCUGUGUAAUGUGUUUGUGUUUUAAACUAAGGGUCCAGUGUUCAGUAACAAGCUGUCAAGGUUUGUUGCCUGGGAACAGUCGGCUAUGGCAUAUGGCCUGAGUGUAGGAGCUGUCCUGCCAGAGUUGCACACUCUGAUGUACACACAAUGGAAAACACCUAAUUAAACAUCUCUCAGAACGUGUUCCCUUUGUUAAGUGAUGCAUGAUUUUAAUAAAAAUAAACAAAAAAGAAAAAAAGUGACAUUCUUCUACUGGUCACCCCUGGUUUUGAGCAUUUUCCUUCAUGUCUUUAAACUUCUAUGAAAUAGUUUUCAGUCAUUUUUUAAAAUAUAUAUAUUUUUUAAUUGUAGUUGCAUACAAUACCUUUAUUUUAUUUAUUUCUAUGUGCUGAGGAUUGAACCCAGGGCCUUAUACGUGCUAGGUGAGUACAGUACCACUAAGCCAC
rnacentral:lncRNA from 1 species